AGCCAAAUUCUAGCCCAAUUACAUCGACUCAAAAUAACAAAGCUACUCCCAAACACCCAACUAAAACAUUUACCAGUCUUAGUAUAGGUGAUAGAAAAGACACCCCCCCCCUGGAGCGAUAGAGAUCACGUACCGUAAGGGAAAGAUGAAAUAACAGUGAAUAAAACCAAGCUAAAAAUAGCAAAGAUCAACCCUUGUACCUUUUGCAUCAUGGUCUAGCAAGAAAAACCAAGCAAAAUGAAUUGAAGCUUGCCUUCCCGAAACCCAAGCGAGCUACUUACGAGCAGCUAUAAUUGAGCGAACCCGUCUCUGUGGCAAAAGAGUGGGAUGACUUGUUAGUAGAGGUGAAAAGCCAAUCGAGCUGGGUGAUAGCUGGUUGCCUGUGAAAUGAAUUUAAGUUCACUCUUAAUUCUUCUCCAAGGAAAUUCUCAAACCCUAAUGAAGCGAAUUAAGGGCUAUUUAAAGGAGGUACAGCUCCUUUAAAAAAGAGUACAUUCUCCACAAGCGGAUAAGCAUCUAACACUAAAAGACUAUAGUGGGCCCUCAAGCAGCCAUCAAUGAAGAGUGCGUUAAAGCUCCAUAUACUAAAAAUAUCUCAAUUUUGCGACUCCCUCCCCACUAACAGGCUAACCUAUAUAGCAAUAGGAGAAUUAAUGCUAGAAUGAGUAACUAGGGUAUCUCCCUCUACAACGCAAGCUUACAUCUGCACAUUAUUAACAAACACCAAAUAUACGACUAAUACAACAAGCAGAGUAUAAACCAGAUUGUUAGCCCGACAGAGGAGCGUCCACCAAGAAAGAUUAAAACCUGUAAAAGGAACUAGGCAAACACGUCAAGGCCCGACUGUUUACCAAAAACAUAGCCUUCAGCAAACCAUUAGACAAGUAUUGAAGGUGAUGCCUGCCCGGUGAUUCGUUUAACGGCCGCGGUAUCCUAACCGUGCAAAGGUAGCGCAAUCAAUUGUCCCAUAAAUCGAGACCUGUAUGAAUGGCUAAACGAGGUCUUAACUGUCUCUUACAGGCAAUCAGUGAAAUUGAUCUCCCUGUGCAAAAGCAGGGAUAAAAGCAUAAGACGAGAAGACCCUGUGGAACUUAAAAAUCAGCGACCACGCCAAAAUACAUCCCCCCCCAACACCCCGGGGACACUUAUCCAACAAGCCACUGGUACGCAUUUUUUGGUUGGGGCGACCUUGGAGAAAAACAAAUCCUCCAAAAACCGGACCAAACCUCUCGACUAAGAGCAACCCCUCAACGUGCGAAUAGCAACCAGAUCCAAUAUAAUUGAUCAAUGGACCAAGCUACCCCAGGGAUAACAGCGCAAUCUCCUUCGAGAGUCCGUAUCGACGAGGAGGUUUACGACCUCGAUGUUGGAUCAGGACAUCCUAGUGGUGCAGCAGCUACUAAGGGUUCGUUUGUUCAACGAUUAACAGUCCUACGUGAUCUGAGUUCAGACCGGAGCAAUCCAGGUCGGUUUCUAUCUAUGAUGAGCUCUUCCCAGUACGAAAGGAUAGGAAAAGCGAGGCCAAUACCACAAGCAAGCCUCCGCCUUAAGUAAUGAAAGCAACUAAUUACAAAAGGCUAUCACACCACAACCACGUCCUAGAAAAGGACCA
rnacentral:rRNA from 1 species